UACAGAGGGUGCAAGCGUUGUUCGGAAUUACUGGGCGUAAAGCGCGUGUAGGCUGCGGUGUAAGUCAGGUGUGAAAGCCCUCAGCUUAACUGAGGAAGUGCACUUGAUACUGCAUCGCUUGAGUGUCGGAGGGGGUGGCGGAAUUCCCGGUGUAGAGGUGAAAUUCGUAGAUAUCGGGAGGAACACCUGUGGCGAAGGCGGCCACCUGGACGACAACUGACGCUGAGACGCGAAAGCGUGGGUAGCAAACAGG
rnacentral:rRNA from 1 species